UAAGACAGAGGCCUCGAGCGUUAGGCGGAAUCACUGGGCUUAAAGCGUGUGUAGGCGGAAGAGUAAGUACCUUGUGAAAUCCCACGGCUCACCCGUGGAACCGCUGGGUAUACUGCUCUUCUUGGGCCAUUCAGGGGCGACUGGAACAAGCGGUGGAGCGGUGAAAUGCGUAGAUAUCGCUUGGAACGCCGACGGUGAAAACAGGUCGCUGGGAAUGUGCCGACGCUGAGACACGAAAGCCAGGGGAGCAAACGGGAUUAGAUACCCCGGUAGUCCUGGCCCUAAACGAUGUCCACUAGAUUGCGGCGGGUUUGACCCCGUCGCGGUCGAAGCAAAAGUGUUAAGUGGACCGCCUGGGAAGUACGGUCGCAAGGCUA
rnacentral:rRNA from 1 species